AUGGACUUAGGGCUCAUACUGUUUUUCUCUGUCCUUAUUUUAAAAGGUGUUCAUUGUGAGGUGCAAUUGCUGGAGUCUGGGGGAGGCUUAGUGCAGCCUGGAAAGUCCCUGAAACUCUCCUGUGCAGCGUCUGGAUUCACCUUUAGUAGUUAUGACAUGAGUUGGGUCCGGCAGGCUCCAGGGAAGGGACUGGAGGGGGUUGCAUACAUUAGUUUCAAUGGUGAUAUCACCCACUAUACCGACACUAUGAAGGGCCGGUUCACAGUCUCCAGAGACAAUGCCAAGAACACUCUGUACCUGGAAAUGAGCAGUCUGAAGUCAAAGGACACAGCCAUUUAUUAUUGUGCAAGAGACACAGUGACAGAAAUUAUAGUGAAGCUUCAGGAGACAAGACCUAGGCUGAUUAAGCUCUCACACUCAUCUUCCCUCAGCUGCAUUGUCGAUGAUUACUCCAUCACCAGCCUGGGCCUGGAUUUGACAGCUCCAAGGAAAGGUCCUAGAGUGUGUGAGUUAUGUAAGUCGUGGUUGGUAGUUGUGGCACCAUUUAUAGUCCUUCCUACAAGAGCCACAUUUCAUACUAGUGAAACAUCUGAGAACCAGUUCUUCUGA